rnacentral:snRNA from 1 species
AUCACUUCUAGGCCUUUUGGCUGAGAUCAAGUGUAGUAUUUGUUCUUAUCAGUUUAAUAUCUGAUACAUCCUCUAUCCGAGGACAACAUACUAAAUGGAUUUUUGGAGCAGGGAGAUGGAAUAGGAGCUUGCUCUGUCCACUCCACGCAUCGACCUGGUAUUGCAGUACUUCCAGGAACAGUGCACCCCUC